rnacentral:tRNA from 1 species
CCUCCUUAUACGAUUUAGAACUUAUUUGUUCGUAGUGUCCACACAGAUGAUUGUUAAUUGUAAAGAGAACAACACUUAUUGUUUGGGUCUGUAGCUCAGUUGGUUAGAGCGCACCCCUGAUAAGGGUGAGGUCGGUGGUUCAAAUCCACCCAGACCCACCACUUCUUCUUAAUCUUAUCAAUAAGAUUAAAACGAAGUCGGAUAACAAACAAUAAGACCAGCAUAUGUGGGGCUAUAGCUCAGCUGGGAGAGCGCCUGCCUUGCACGCAGGAGGUCAGCAGUUCGAUCCUGCUUAGCUCCACCACUUUACUUCUUAAAAAUAAAUAUUCUUUAUCGGGUAGCAACAUCGCCUGAGAAUAGAGUGUGUUUAAUUUUGAGAAGUUUUUGAUUCUCUGCUCUUUAAAAAUUGGGAAAAGCUGAUAAUAAAAUUCGUAUGAAUAACACUGUUAUA